UGGCGGACGGGUGAGUAACGCGUGGGUAACCUGCCUCAUACAGGGGGAUAACAGUUAGAAAUGACUGCUAAUACCGCAUAAGACCACAGCACCGCAUGGUGCAGGGGUAAAAACUCCGGUGGUAUGAGAUGGACCCGCGUCUGAUUAGGUAGUUGGUGGGGUAACGGCCUACCAAGCCGACGAUCAGUAGCCGACCUGAGAGGGUGACCGGCCACAUUGGGACUGAGACACAGCCCAA
rnacentral:rRNA from 1 species